rnacentral:rRNA from 1 species
GUGAGGAAUCUUGCGCAAUGGGGGAAACCCUGACGCAGCAACGCCGCGUGAGUGAAGAAGGCCUUCGGGUUGUAAAGCUCUGUCAAGUGGGAAGAAAUACUCGGUGCUAACAUCGCCGGGGACUGACGGUACCACUAAAGGAAGCACCGGCUAACUCCGUGCCAGCAGCCGCGGUAAGACGGAGGGUGUAAGCGUUGUUCGGAAUCACUGGGCGUAAAGAGCGUGUAGGCGGUUAAUUAAGUCGGAUGUGAAAGCCCUUGGCUUAACCAAGGAAGUGCAUCCGAAACUGGUUGACUUGAGUACGGGAGAGGAGAGUGGAAUUCCUGGAGUAGAGGUGAAAUUCGUAGAUCUCAGGAGGAACACCGGUGGCGAAGGCGACUCUCUGGACCGAUACUGACGCUGAGACGCGAAAGCGUGGGGAGCAAACAGGAUUAGAUACCCUUGUAGUCC